GACGAACGCUGGCGGCGUGCUUAACACAUGCAAGUCGAACGGAAAGGCCCUGCUUUUGUGGGGUGCUCGAGUGGCGAACGGGUGAGUAACACGUGAGUAACCUGCCCUUGACUUUGGGAUAACUUCAGGAAACUGGGGCUAAUACCGGAUAGGAGCUCCUGCUGCAUGGUGGGGGUUGGAAAGUUUCGGCGGUUGGGGAUGGACUCGCGGCUUAUCAGCUUGUUGGUGGGGUAGUGGCUUACCAAGGCUUUGACGGGUAGCCGGCCUGAGAGGGUGACCGGCCACAUUGGGACUGAGAUGCGGCCCAGACUCCUACGGGAGGCAGCAGUGGGGAAUAGUGCACAAUGGGCGGGAGCCUGAUGCAGCAACGCCGCGUGCGGGAAGACGGCCUUCGGGUUGUAAACCGCUUUCGCCUGUGACGAAGCGUGAGUGACGGUAAUGGGUAAAGAAGCACCGGCUAACUACGUG
rnacentral:rRNA from 1 species